rnacentral:lncRNA from 1 species
UCGAAUCAAGCAUAUCAUGAUUUAAAGUCACUUCUACAAUCAAGUCGAGUCUCAAAUGAGUAUGUUACGAGCCAGCGGAGCAUUGGCUGCAUAAAUCACCUCGAGUUUUGUGUAAUUACAGACCUCUUUGUACAUUGAAACAUGUUCUAAUCACUUUAGAAGUUGGGUUUGGGCCUCCGGCUGGUUAGUUGUUUCAUUUGGCUUCCACCGGAGUCGUGGUGUCAAUUCUUUCACUCUCUCUAGCUCGUCAUCGCAGGGCGGAAUGGCCGAAGAUCGCGGUCUGGCGGGCAUGGCGCAGGAGCCGGAUGUGCUAGGUAGGUUGGGCAAUGCUCCCCCGGCAUCAAUACUGAUACACCUUUCGCAUACAUCGUUAUCUGAAACACAACAAUAAUUCGACAUCAAUUUUUUGAAUUUUUAUUCUCGUAACAUGGUAUCAUAGUCUUUGGGUACGCAAAGACAACUUGUGUUUAGAGUGUGCUCAUCUUGACUUUGGUUUUACAAAAAACAAUUAUUAAUGAAAACCUGACAUAGGUUGUCUGGACUAAUUGUCUGAAGUUAUGCAUUAAUGAACAUGGGACAAGAAAAAAACCCACGAUCAAAAUUAAUUAAUAAGUUUUUAAUGGAAAAAAAAUUAGAAAUAAGAUGAUGAUCUUAUCAAGAAUCGAUGUAUCCCAAUAAUUUAAGCUGGUGGAAGAGAGUUUAUAUAAGUUUUAUAGUAUUCAUUAACACGGCUUCUGAUCAAACAGAAACACUCAAAAUAGCUGAAAUUUACAUAACUUCAUACGAUAAGUCAUAUGCACGGAUGAGAGCUAUCAGUAUUCGAAAUGGAGACUCCUGGUCUUUUACCAUGUCAAAAACCGUUGCAUCCCAAUAACUCGAAUUGUUGAAAAAGAUUUAUAACAGAUUUUAUAGUAUCAUUAACACUUCUAACCCUUAACAAAAUGACUUUUAUGAUUUGUCAUCUAAGCGGAAUAACACUGUUAAUUACCAGAUCGAAUAUGGUUGAGUAUGAAACUUUUUUACACUUUAUUCUCA